UACGGAGGAUGCGAGCGUUAUCCGGAUUUAUUGGGUUUAAAGGGUGCGCAGGCGGAAUGUCAAGUCAGCGGUAAAAUUUCGGGGCUCAACCCCGUCGUGCCGUUGGAACUGGCGUUCUUGAGUGAGCGAGAAGUAUGCGGAAUGCGUGGUGUAGCGGUGAAAUGCGUAGAUAUUAGGAGGAACACCAGUGGCGAAGGCGGUCUGCUGGACAGCAACUGACGCUGAGGCGCGAAAGCGUGGGGAGCAAACAGG
rnacentral:rRNA from 1 species